rnacentral:lncRNA from 10 species
UCAGUGACUUUGCAUGUCAUGUGUUUGCUCAUAAGUAAGUAGACAGUUGGUGGACUGAGUCACGGAACACAGGCAACAACAGGAUCUUCCGCAGUUUGCUUGGGUAGCUGGUUCUGCUGUUCUGGGCUGGACUCAACAAAUCUCAGCUGGGAUCACUCAGACCUCCAAGGUUCCUGACAGGUAUGUAGGGGGCUGGCUAGUCUAGGAUGGCCUCAGCUGUCCUCCAUGUGGUUCCCACAUUCCUUCAACAGGCCAGUUCAUGCAUGUUCUCAUGACAGGAGGGAGUCCAAGAGAGCAGACGUGGAAACACACAAGCAUGUUUUCACACCUCCUUUUGCAUCAAGUGUGGUCUUGUACCAUUGACCAAAGCAAGUCAUGUUGCCAAACUCAGAGUUAGCAAGAUAAGGUACACCUAAUGGGUAUGGAUGCAGGGAGGUGUCAGACAACUGGAGUUGUCAACCACAUCACUCACCACCUACCUUAUCCAGUUCAACUCACUCAAAAUAACAUCUAAAUCAUUAUCCCAAUUGCUCCGUUCCCAGGUGGAAAUGACCUGCUCAGGGUCCUCAAGCAGCAGUGAGAUCCUGGCCAUCUGCAGAUUCCACAAUCAAUCACCCCCAUCAAUUGUGACAUUAUUACAGCACUGCCCUCCAUGCAACUUAACUCGAUAGGAAACAAACAUUUGAUCCGUUAGUAUGCAUAGAAGCAAUAUUAUUUUCUGAAACAGUAAUUUGAAAUAGGAAUAAUAAUGAGAAACUGUACAGACAGAUAUCCCCCAGGGCACAUUACUGAUUGUCAAUAUGGUGAGUACAGAAAGAGAGGCACAUCACACUUCUCUUCACAGUAAUAAUAGCUGCACCCACAUGUAUCUUGGAACAUAAAUGUUCACUCAUGAUGAUAAGUCGGAAGCCCACUAACAUGCUGGCAGCAGACAGAUUUUUCAGAAACACAUAUCUGAUCAAAAAUUUACAGUGAUGUUUUCCAAAAUUAAGUAUUUGUCGUGUAUUUUUUCUUUUACCAGGUACUCUUUAAACACUUGGGAUUGUAGGGGUGGAAAGCUGUGAUACCUUUCCUCACCCACCAUGAGGGUCAUGGCCAACACUCCUGUAGCAAAGGAAAAAAGAGAAAAGCAUAACAAAUGUAUUUAAUAUUUAAUCCAAUGUAUUAGGCCAUUCUCACACUGCUACAAAGAAAUACCCGCAACUGGGUAAUUUAUAAAGAAAAGAGGUUUAAUUGGCUCUUGGUUCCACAGGCUGUACAGUUAGCAUGACGCAUCUGCUUGGCUUCUGGGGAGGCCACAGGAAACUUACAAUCAUGGCAGAAGGUGAAGGGAAAGCAGACACAUCUUACAUGGCUGGAGCAGGAUAGGUGCUAUACACUUUUAAAUGAUGAGAUCUCACGAGAACUCACUCACUAUUAGUGAGUAGCACCAAAGGGGAUAUUCACCCCCAUGAUCCAAUCACCUCCCAGCAGGCCCCACCUUCAACGUUGGGGAUUACAGUUUGACAUGAGAUUUGGGCGGGGACACAGAUCCAAACUGUACCAUCAAAGUUUUAUGUGACGUGAAAGCCUAAAUAAAUAACGACUCAAAGACUCAGGGAAAACUGUCCAUUUUCAUGCUUAGGUUUGGUGAAGAACGGACAAUCAUGAAGAAACGUGAUUGGACAAAAAGUAAAUGAUCUAAUGGUAAUAGACUGAGUGGGGAAACCCAGCAAGGUCUGUCUGUUCAGAUUCUCCUUCCUCCUUCUGUGUGUCAUUCCCUUCCCCCAGGUGUGGGGCAGGACCCCUUCUGGAAUGAGGUCUCAUGACCUACUCUCAGACAAGGUGAGUCCAAGAACCUCUUUAUGGCCAGCUCCUAUACAGAAAGGCAGAGGGAGUUACAGUCAUAUUUCUAGGCUUUAUGGCUGCCUUUGAAGGAGAGGGGUCCUAAUUCCUAUGAUCCACCUUGGGGAAGAGAAAUUCUAGUUCCUAUGGCCUGCCUUGUGGGAGAGACGAGAGCAGGAGAAAGAAGGGUAGGAAAAGGCCAGAAAGAGAUUUUGCUUCUGAGGCUCUUCCGCUGUCCUUUACUUCAAAGUACUCAGCAUGUCAAAGCGUUACACUCUGGGCAUGAUUUUCUCAACCAUGAAUAAAAUAGACAAAUCUCUGCUCUUAUUGAGCUUGUGUUCCUCGUACAGGAAUACUGACACUGAGCAAAUAAAAGCAAAAUAUCUUAAGUAGAUAUAAGUGUUAUCGUGAAAAUUCACUAUGGGGAUGGGGAUGCUCUUUUUUUUUUUUGACAGAGUCUCUCUCUGUUACCCAGGCUGGAGUACAAUGGCGCAAUCUCGGCUCACUGCAAUCUCUGCCUCCCAGAUUCAAGCAAUUCUCCUGCCUCAGCUUCCCAAGUAGCUGGGAUUACAGGUGUGUGCCACUAUGCUCAACUAAUUUUUGUAUUAUUUGAUAGAGUCGGGGUUUUGCCAUGUUGGCCAGGCUGGUCUUGAACUCCUGACCUCAGGUGAUCUGCUCACCUCUGCCUCCCAAAGUAUUGGGAUUACAGGCGUGAGCCACCGCACCCAGCCUGAUGCUGCUUCUUAUAGGGCAUUCAAGCAAGACCUCUCUCACAGGGUGUAAUCUGAAAAGAGACCUGAAGAAGGUAGGAGAAAGGAAAGGUGUGAGAGUCUCCUAAAAAGGGGAGGAGAAUGAAUCAGAGAAGUAGGAGAGUACAACCAGGCAGGGCUAAUGCCCCCUUGAAGUUAAUGGCCAUAAAUCUGAAGUG